rnacentral:rRNA from 1 species
UACGUAGGGUGCGAGCGUUAAUCGGAAUUACUGGGCGUAAAGUGUGCGCAGGCGGCACCGCAAGUCGAGUGUGAAAGCCCCGGGCUUAACUUGGGAAUUGCGCUCGAAACUAUGGUGCUGGAGUGUGGCAGAGGAAGGUGGAAUUCCAGGUGUAGCGGUGAAAUGCGUAGAGAUCUGGAGGAACACCGAUGGCGAAGGCAAUCCCCUGGACCUGUACUGACGCUCAUGCACGAAAGCGUGGGGAGCAAACAGG